rnacentral:rRNA from 2 species
GCAUAGAGGACACACCUGUUCCCAUACCGAACACAGAAGUUAAGCUCUAUAGCGCCGAAAGUAGUUGGAGGAUCGCUUCCUGCGAGGAUAGGACGAUGCGGUGC